GACGAACGCUGGCGGCGUGCUUAACACAUGCAAGUCGAACGGAAAGGCCCUGCUCUUGUGGCUUUCUCGAUUGGCGAACGGGUGAGUAACACGUGUGUAUCCUGCCCUUGACUUUGUGAUAACUUCAGGAAACUCCGGCUAUUAUCGCAUAGGAUCUCCUGCUCCAUGUUGUGGGUUGGUAAGUUUCGGCGGUUCGGUAUGGACUCGCGGCUUAUCAGCUUGUUGGUGUGGUAGUUGCUUACCAAGGUUUUGACGGGUAGCCGGCCUGGGAGGGAGAACGGGCACAGUGGGACUGGGGGAGGGCCAAGAGGGCUAAGGGAGGCAGGAGUGGGGAAUAUUGCACAAAGGGCGGAAGCAUGAGGCAGCGACGCCGGGUGCGGAAUGACGGCUUUUGGGUAGGAAAACGCUUGUGCGUGAGACGAAGCGUGAGUAACGGUAAUAGGUAAAGAAGCACGGGCUAACUAGGU
rnacentral:rRNA from 1 species